rnacentral:rRNA from 1 species
UACGAAGGGGACUAGCGUUGUUCGGAAUUACUGGGCGUAAAGGGUGCGUAGGCGGGUCUUUAAGUCAGGGGUGAAAUCCUGGAGCUCAACUCCAGAACUGCCUUUGAUACUGAGGAUCUUGAGUUCGGGAGAGGUGAGUGGAACUGCGAGUGUAGAGGUGAAAUUCGUAGAUAUUCGCAAGAACACCAGUGGCGAAGGCGGCUCACUGGUCCGGUACUGACGCUGAGGUGCGAAAGCGUGGGGAGCAAACAGG